UACGGAGGGUGCAAACGUUGCUCGGAAUUAUUGGGCGUAAAGCGCACGUAGGUGGUCUAUCAAGUCAGGUGUGAAAGCCCUGGGCUCAACCCAGGAAGUGCGCUUGAAACUGACAGGCUUGAGUAUGGAAGAGGGUCGCGGAAUUCCCGGUGUAGAGGUGAAAUUCGUAGAUAUCAGGAGGAAUACCGAUGGCGAAGGCAGGUCUCUGGGCUGACACUGACGCUCAUGCACGAAAGCGUGGGGAGCAAACAGG
rnacentral:rRNA from 1 species